ACCACCAUGACUCUCAUCACCCUCCUCAUCUGGACGCUGGCCUGCUGCAGCUUCACAGGAUGCAGCGGCCAGGUGACUGUGACUCAGCCUCCAGUCGUGACAUUUACUCCAGGAUCCACUGUCACGCUGACCUGUAAAUCCAACCCCAGUGUUUAUAGUGAUAUUUUCUAUUAUUAUUUGUCCUGGUACCAGCAGAAACCUGGACAGGCUCCCAAGCUUCUUAUAUACUAUGCAUCAACUCUUAAUUCAGGAACUCCCUCUCGAUUCAGUGGCAGUGGCACUGGUUCUAGCUUCACCUUAACCAUCAGAGGUGUUCAGGCUGAAGAUCUUGGAGAUUAUUACUGUCAGAGUUAUCAUAGCGGUGGAGUGUUCACACAGUGAUUUAGAGCCGUACAAAAACCUCCCUCAGUUUGACUGAAGUGAAACUGGUCUGCUGCAGCUGCACAGAGAAUAACUGGUCCAGUGAACACAACACAAGUCUUCAAGCAGAGCGGCAAUGAAGCUAAACACAACUGAAACAAACU